UGAGACAGUUCGGUCCCUAUCUGUCGUGGGCGUUGGAGAUUUGAGGGGGGCUGCUCCUAGUACGAGAGGACCGGAGUGGACGUUCCGCUGGUGUUCGGGUUGUCAUGCCCAUGGCAUUGCCCGGUAGCUAUGAACGGAAGCGAUAACCGCUGAAAGCAUCUAAGCGGGAAGCGCGCCCCAAGAUGAGAUCUCCCGAGUCCCAGAGACUCCUUAAGGCACCAUCAAGACUAGGUGGUUGAUAGGCGCGGUGUGGAAGUGCAGCAAUGCAUUGAGCUUACGCGUACUAAUGAGCCGUGCGGCUUGACCAUAUAACCCCAAG
rnacentral:rRNA from 1 species